CGAAUUAUGCGCAUUGAUUCUUGCAUGUUCUUGCAUUCAAAAACACUUCAAAAAACUUGAUAUCCUCUAUUUGGGAGAGAUGGCUUCUUAUAGGUGAAGAAGAGUCGUCCUGGGAAUUACACAACUGAACUUGCUAUGUUUGGCUCCAAUUACCCCGUCCACCGCAAAUUCAAUAUAUGUUCUGCAUGCGACCGUAUAUUGACCGCAGACCUGGGCGCGGAUUUCAUCCUUGCUCUUUCUUCUCUUUUUUCAAUCAUGUUGUCCUCUGAUUGAUCUUCCAUACUCCAUAUUGAAUCCAAAACACUUUUUUACCUUUCUUCUAGCUCGAAGUGGCUCCUAAAAAGUAAUAAACUCGUAAUUAGGGCAUUUUAUUAUUCUUUUACAAUCAAACAUAGGUAAAGUGCGGCCAAAUUAGAGUGUAAAUAUUAGCUCUUGCAUAAUUAUCAUUUAUUAUCAACACCCCACACUUAAAUCCUUGCUCGUCCCCGAGCAAUCAAACCACACUCUACAAUGGUCUAACUUCACUGAGUGACUCCUCUAACUCUUCACACUAAGAACAUUUCACAAAAAUUGAGCUCGGUAGUAUAACAUAUUCGCCCCAAGAGCUGACUCUCCCAUGCCACGUAAUAUUCCUAACUUAACUCACUUACUCUAGAGCAGAGGUUAAGACUCACUUUUCCUUCAUAAAUCAAGUGCCCUUUCAUAACAAAUGACAGUGGUUCCACACACAAUAAUAUUUAAGUACAAUUACGAACUCAACAUAGAAAGAAUUCACUCAUUCUCAAAAAGAACAUUCAUAUGUCACAAAAAAUGCACAUAGGCUUGCCCGUAGUGUACUAAUCCACUAACUCGAGUUCAUUCCGUCUAGGAUCAAUUAGUACUUCAGUUGGUUGAAAUGUACGCUGCGAGACAGGUAAGAUACAUUUAGGUAUAAGAGUGAAUAUACCUCCCUAAGCACUUAAAACAUAACCUUUAUCAUUUCUAAUCCCACACAUAUUUCAAACCACAACUCCACAUUCAUAUCACUAUAUAUUAACUCCCUUCUUCUUUACGCACAAUUACAUCAAGAGUCGCCCCUUAUCAAAGAAUAUUUGUUUCAUAACAAUACAAUAUUAUUUUCAUUCUCUUUCACUUCAAGUGGCUCUUACUUGUUUAAAACAGUGCACCUUUCUCCUUAUUUCAUUAGUUGCACUCAAAAGCCAAACCACUCACCCC
rnacentral:lncRNA from 1 species